CGGGUGGAGCAGGUGGUAGCUCGCGUGGCUCAUAACCAUGAUGUCGGCGGUUCGACUCUGCCCCUACCAA
rnacentral:tRNA from 1 species